GAUGCAUAUCCGAUUUGAUAUGUGACCCGAGCCGGUGCUAUGCCCGGGUUCCGGUUUAACCGGUUGGCCUGGCUGGUCCAGUCUGAGUUUUAUAACACUGCACACAAGAUCCCUUUGGUCUUGAAUCACAGACAGUACACUGCCCACUUACCUUGUACUGAAAUUCAACAUUUUAUUAAAAGAACGAAGACAGCACGUUUGAACUCUAUUCAUGUUACAUUAGGAUGAUUGACUUUUGGAUGUAUAGGUCUUUACGCCUUUAUCUUAUUCUGCAAUGACUCUGUGAGAGAGGAAGAAUAAAAGGGAAUGGAAGUUUGGAAAAUUUUAGACUAGAAGAAAGCCAACUUAGAGUUGAGCUUUUUAAGAACAAAUUCUAUCUCAAAAUCAAUUAUAAGAUGAACAAGAUUUUUAAAAUUUAAAUAACCAAAUGGUCUAGAUCUAAAAAUAAGCUCUAUUUCACCUAGAUAUCUAGCUUUGAUGGUUGCCACCUUAGAUUUUGGGAAAUUUAAUUCAUGUACCAUAGAAAAAAGAAGAAAAUUAUUCAUUUGCCAGGUUAUUUCUAGUUGUUAUGUUUAUCUGUUGUAUUUGUCUGAAGUUUGUCCUUGUUAUGUUUGUCUCUUGUAUUAUCAGUUGGAUCAUGCCAAUGAAUUAUCAAACUCCCUGAAAGAAAGUGCCAAUAUUAACACUGUUUGGGCAUCGCUUAUUGUUGAAGAAUGCACAAGACUUGGUUUGAUGUAUUUGUGUAUUGCUCCUGGAUCUAGACCUUCCCCUGUUGCUGUUGCUGUUGCAAGUCACAAAUUAAUCACAUGUAUUUCAUGCUUCGAUGAGCGUUCACUUGCAUAUCAUGCUGUUGGAUAUGGAAGAGGAUCUCACAUUCCAGCAGUAGCCAUUACAUCAUCAGGCACUGCAGUUUCCAACCUUCUUCCUGCUGGACUGCAACCUAAUCUACUAACUACUACUGAACUCUAAUGCAGGUCAAGUCUGAUCUGGCUAAAAAUAUCCAAUCAUUAGAACCAAACUCUAAAUGUUAUGUCUUGUAAUGAGUGAUUCUCUUACACUCUGAAGUAUAACAAUUUUACCUUAUAAGGGUUCAAUUCAAUCAAAGUAAAAUGGAAAGCGUUUCCUUAUUUAUCAAAUAUGUUUAUGUUUUGUAAUGUUCUUCUACUAAUAUGUGGCGAGCUUAAUCCAAAGUGAUCUUUCUUUUGGAACUAUCCAGUUGAAUAGCAGCAUAUUUUCAGCCUUGAACUUUAUAUUUUAUUUGUGACUGUUCUUCUUUAAGAGUGGUUUAUGAAUGUGGUAUUGAUAUUUGAUGCACGAUAACUGGCCUUCUGUCAGGUAAAGGUUCAACUUCUUAUUGCCAUUACUUUAAUAACAUUAAAUACUAAUUCUUUAGCCGCUCCCAGAUUGAGUUAGAUGAGCUGGAAAGUGUUUCCAUUCUGUCCAUGACCCUUGCAUGGGAUGAAUUUUCCUUCUCUACUUUUCAAGAAGCCCAUUAUUCGCUUCAAGAUUCUCUAGACCAGGUGCCUGACAUGCCUUUUUGAUAUCUUUUCUGUUUUGUUGUUUUAUUUACCAUCAUUCCCUGCUUCUAUCAUUUUUCAUGUAAUUUGGAAUAUUUAAAGUUAAAUGGUCAAUUCUUUUUUGUAUCAGUUUUUACACCUUUGUGAAUGAAAAAAGGGAAUCUUUCAUUAUGGUUUGGUUGGGCCUUUCUCUUUGUUUCCUAUAAUCUAGAGGAUCCUUAUCUUCUUCUUGGGUUCUGAAAAAAUAAAAACAUCUACUCCCUCCUGUAUUUAUGCUUGAUGUUAUUUCCUACGGUGUGGGUUAUGUGUCAUGUCUGGUCUACGAUUGACACAUGGAAAUCCAAAUGCACUAGAGCUGCCCUCAAAAAACUCAAUUUGGUAGAAGAUAGAUCUAUUCCAAGGGUACAAGCUCAUUUCUUUCCUAAGAAUAUGUAAGUUUUACUUGCAACUAGUUGUUACUUCCCUGAAUGCCAAUAUUUGUUUGACAUGUUUCUUUAGUUGAUAUUUGUCUUUUGCAUUUUCUUUUCCUUGGGUCUGGUUAAAUGUUAAUGCUCAAAAGGCUAUUUUCGUUAUUGUUGUAUUUUUUUGUAUUAUAUGCUAAUAUUUUAAGAUUUAAAUACAAUGCAGUGCAAACUAUAUUUGGGCCAAGCCCAUAUACUUUCAAUAGUCUAAUUCUAACUCAAUCCAUAAUAGCUCUUUAACAUUGUUCCCAAAUCCCAAGUUUGAGCUUAAAUAUUAAUCAUGCCUAGCUUGUUACAAAUGAAAUAACAGUGUUUUCCGGUCACAACCUUUGGCUAACAAUUUAUGGGUAAGCUUGUCUCCCUAAGGCAGGACCAUCAACCAUCUAGCAAUUCUUCAUUCCAGAGUCCAAAGAAGGUCAACUUGGUUGCUGCUCUGGUUCGUGGUAUGCUUGUUAAAGAUGCAUCGAUGCAGUUGGAAUCGACAAUAAAACGAGCAGCAAAAACUGUAUAUCAGGUUAAAGAGUUCCAUAGAAGAGAUGGUUUUGAGGUAGCAAGUGCUGACAAGAUGGCUAAGUCAUGCAUGGUUUAUUUUGAAAUGCAUCUAUCCCUAAGGAAAAAAAUAAUUACAAAAGCUUUUAAUGGUAGUUAUAGUAUCUACAAGGAAACUUUUUGUAACCAGGUCUAUUGCCUUUUUGUUUGAGUAACUGGACAUGCAGGUACAAUAAUUGUUGUUGAAGAUGACAAGGGACCUGAAAGAGGAAUGCCGAGCUUCAAUUCUGAGUUACCCAAUUCCAAUUCAUGGGUUGAGGAUGUUACAAGAGUUUGGGAUCCUUGCUGACCAGUGACUAGGGUUGAGGAUUUUACCAAGAGUUGAAGACCGUUGCUGCUAGAAUGUCAAGUUUUGUAGAAGGUACUAAGAUGUAGGCAUGCUAGAUCCUUAUUGCUUGACUGUUGACUAUCCAAGCAUUCUGGUAAUACUAAUUUCAUAUGGCUUAUACUCAUUUCAAGCUUUCUGGUAAUACUCAUUUCAUAACGGCACUUAAAAUUUUUUCAGUUGGAUGGAAAGGCUACUUGUGUGUUACUGAUUUCAUAUGGCUUAUACUCAAUUGGAUGGAAAGGCUACUUAAAAUUUUUUGUUUUUCUACUCUACUCUAGGUCCAUUCUAGGUUUCUCUUUGACUCCUUGUUUGCUUUUGUGUGCUUUUCAUUGCUUUAAUUAUUGAAUAAUCCUUGAAAAUUUGUCUU